UGGGGAAUAUUGGACAAUGGGCGAAAGCCUGAUCCAGCCAUGCCGCGUGUGUGAAGAAGGUCUUCGGAUUGUAAAGCACUUUAAGUUGGGAGGAAGGGCAUUAACCUAAUACGUUAGUGUUUUGACGUUACCGACAGAAUAAGCACCGGCUAACUCUGUGCCAGCAGCCGCGGUAAUACAGAGGGUGCAAGCGUUAAUCGGAAUUACUGGGCGUAAAGCGCGCGUAGGUGGUUUGUUAAGUUGGAUGUGAAAUCCCCGGGCUCAACCUGGGAACUGCAUUCAAAACUGACUGACUAGAGUAUGGUAGAGGGUGGUGGAAUUUCCUGUGUAGCGGUGAAAUGCGUAGAUAUAGGAAGGAACACCAUUGGCGAAGGCGACCACCUGGACUAAUACUGACACUGAGGUGCGAAAGCGUGGGGAGCAAACA
rnacentral:rRNA from 1 species